GACGAACGCUGGCGGCGUGCUUAACACAUGCAAGUCGAACGGAAAGGCCCUGCUUUUGUGGGGUGCUCGAGUGGCGAACGGGUGAGUAACACGUGAGUAACCUGCCCUUGACUUUGGGAUAACUUCAGGAAACUGGGGCUAAUACCGGAUAGGAGCUCCUGCUGCAGGGUGGGGGUUGGAAAGUUUCGGCGGUUGGGGAUUGACUCGCGGCUUAUCAGCUUGUUGGUGGGGUAGUGGCUUACCAAGGCUUUGGCGGGUAGCCGGCCUGAGAGGGUGACCGGCCACAUUGGGACUGCGAUACGGCCCAGACUCCUACGGGAGGCAGCAGUGGGGAAUAUUGCACAAUGGGCGGAAGCCUGAUGCAGCAACGCCGCGUGCGGGAUGACGGCCUUCGGGUUGUAAACCGCUUUCGCCUGUGACGAAGCGUGAGUGACGGUAAUGGGUAAAGAAGCACCGGCUAACUACGUG
rnacentral:rRNA from 1 species